UGCGGGGGGGGCAAGCGUUGUUCGGAAUUACUGGGCGUAAAGGGCUCGUAGGUGGCCAACUAAGUCAGACGUGAAAUCCCCAGGCUCAACUUGGGAACUGCGUCUGAUACUGGAUGGCUUGAAUUCGGGAGAGGGAUGCAGAAUUCCAGGUGUAGCGGUGAAAUGCGUAGAUAUCUGGAGGAAUACCGGUGGCGAAGGCGGCAUCCUGGACCGAGAUUGACACUGAUGAGCGAAAGCUAGGGGAGCAAACGGG
rnacentral:rRNA from 1 species